rnacentral:lncRNA from 1 species
GCCCUGUCCAACCAAUUUCCACGGAGCCAAAGAGUCACAUCAUAGUCAAGCAAGCACCCAAACUUCCACCAGCACACAAAUCAAUAAACAAGACCCAGGAACAAAUUCAAGGCAACAAAUAAACCUAUUUUUGCGGUAACGUUUUCUAGCCUUCAACGUAGGUGUCCUAAAGGAUGUACUAUUCGUUACCUGUGCCUUAAAUUUGCAUGGAAUCAACGUCAUAACAAUUCAUUGCAACUUAAAAAUUUCUUCCUAUGGAUGAAAGAAAAUAAGAAAGUGAAAUGAAUUAAGAUUUUCACAAAAUUUAAAAUUUCUCCUAUAAGCACAGCUUUUAUAGAAACUCCCUUUUAACUGUAAAAGAAUUUUGAUUCAUUUUAUUUCCUAAUAUUUUUCUACAAAUACUUAUAAAUAAUUUGUCAAACUGAAAAAUGAACUCUGUUUUGCAAUUGUGUAUCUGCAUGCAAGCAGUGACUGAACAAAGAUUGAAGUUGUACCUGGUGGAGAAUGUUCCUCCGAGUGAGUUCAUCAAAAGCACGCACGAGGGCGUAAGCGCCGCCGAGAACACCAACGGUGGCUCCGGCAUUGUAGAGCAGAUCUUCUGCCGUGGCGGGGACGAC